rnacentral:sRNA from 1 species
UCGCCUGCUUCAGACGUGCAUACUGCGCGUA